AUACCCAAUGACGUCUCUAGAAGACAUCUGAAAGAGAUUAAAGAUUUAUCGGUGAUGGAUGGGGAUGCGUCUGAUUAGCUUGUUGGCGGGGUAACGGCCCACCAAGGCAACGAUCAGUAGGGGUUCUGAGAGGAAGGUCCCCCACAUUGGAACUGAGACACGGUCCAAACUCCUACGGGAGGCAGCAGUGAGGAAUAUUGGUCAAUGGACGAGAGUCUGAACCAGCCAAGUAGGGUGCAGGAAGACGGCCCUAUGGGUUGUAAACUGCUUUUAUAAGGGAAUAAAGUGAGUCUCGUGAGACUUUUUGCAUGUACCUUAUGAAUAAGGACCGGCUAAUUCCGUGCCAGCAGCCGCGGUAAUACGGAAGGUCCGGGCGUUAUCCGGAUUUAUUGGGUUUAAAGGGAGCGUAGGCCGGAGAUUAAGCGUGUUGUGAAAUGUAGACGCUCAACGUCUGCACUGCAGCGCGAACUGGUUUUCUUGAGUACGCACAAAGUGGGCGGAAUUCGUGGUGUAGCGGUGAAAUGCUUAGAUAUC
rnacentral:rRNA from 1 species